rnacentral:lncRNA from 1 species
UGAGGGGAGAGGAAAGGAAAAGAGUGCUCAGCGAUCUGGCAAGCGCAUCUUUCCAGUCUGCUGAGAUAGGGUGUUGGCUGUCCCUAACCUCAAUCUUUGGAAACCGAGCCCCUCUGAACCCCCAGCGCAAGGUCAGGAAGAGCCCACACCCAUCUUUCGAAGCUCAAGAGAAGGGCGGAGGCCCUCAGCAAAAGAUUUGGAGGUGCUCAGAAAGCCGGAAGGAGACUGCUUCCGAGUGCCUCCAGAUCCCAGUGCAAUGCCAGGGAUGAGAUAAUAAUAAUUAAUAAUAAUAAUAUUAAUUUAUUUAUACCCCACCCAUCUCCCUAAACGGCCUUGGCCCAGUACACCUGAAGGAGCAUCUCCACCCUCGUCUUUCAGCCCAGACACUGAGGUCCAGCUCCAAGGGCCUUUUGGUGGUUCCUUCACUGCGAGAAGUGAGGUUGCAGGGAACUAGGCAAAGGGCCUUCUCGGUGGUGGCACCCGCCCUGUGGAACGCCCUCCCACCAGAUGUCAAGGAAAUAAACAACUAUCUGACUUUUAGAAAACAUCUAAAGGCAGCCCUGCUUAGGGAAGUUUUUAAUGUUUGAUGUUUUUUAAUAUUCUGUUGAGAGCCGCCCAAAGUGGCUGGGGAGGUCCGGCCAGAUGGGUGGGGUAUAAAUAAUAAAUUGUUGUUGUUUUUGUUGUUGUUAAAGUUGAGGUAUGUAGACUUUUUGGGAUAGGGUUGGUGGCAACAACCAGAUCUUGACUGGUGAUAGAGGCUUAGCAGAAUUUGUGGAUUUGAUUGUAGUAUCUGCUCUGGGCUAAUGUUUUAGGUCUAUCUCAAGGAUAACGACCACACAUACCAAAAGGCCUGUGGAAAAAUAGGCGUCUUUGUUCUCUUCCUACUCCUGUGCUAUAAUAAAGAUUUACAGCACUGUCCAAUCCAGCAGUCAUUUACUUUUCCUGUAGCAUAAAUAUUUAGAGGCCUUCAGGAUUUACAGAGAGACAGAUAUAGCUUUUUGCUCUCCAUUGGAGGAGAUGGCAAGAGGCACAACUGUGUCAUUUUAGGGCUCUGAGGCGGCUCAGUGGAGACUGAGUGGAGUGGGCCAGAACUAGGGGUCUGGAGCCAGUUCGAAGGUCAAAGCUAAGUGGCUGGCUAACUGCUGAAUACCAGCCAUAGUUAUCCUGGCCAAAAUGGUUGAGCAGGGAAUGGCAGAGGGAUUUUUCUCCUCUUCCAAGCCAUGUAUUCUGGUCAUACCCUGUACACAGAGAUGGGAGGAAACCCGUUUAUACAAGCAAGUAUAUAUGUUUAAAAAUCAUUACCAUCACCAAUAAAUUUAUUGUGCUAGCCAAAGGCCAUGACAAAAGCAUGAAAACACAAUUUCAAUACAAAAUAUAGAUUAAGGUAUCGACUAAAACAGACAGACCAUCUAUUUCUAAUGAGACUAUAACCUGGAGGCCUUCAUUGUGAUGCAAAGUGUCUUUCAGAUUUAGACCUCCGAAUCUUCCUCCUUGCUGCCAAUGCAGAAAGGGCCACUUUGUGAGUCACUAACACAUUGGAGUCACUAGGUAACCACAAAACACACUCCACUGGGGGUUGACUGCUUCCUUGAACAAACAAGGGUUUUAGAAAGUGACUCCUUGGGUCUGUGUAUAAGGGGCAAAAUAGCAAAUAAUGGAUACUACCUUCUGCCUGCAAUUACCUGCAAAUGCAUAGUCUAUCUGCACAUGGAAUCUUCUUGUAAGGACCAUCCAGCACAGCUGAGGGCAUUGCUUGAAAUCACAACACGGUAAAGGCAGAUCUUAAUGGUACAGGCAGAAGUUUAACUGACUCUAAAAUGCUAUGCUUUCAAUAGAGGGAAACACAGGGAACAGUUAGAUGUUUUAAUCGCUUGUAAGUCCCUUCUGGAUUCUAUCCAAUAAAGCCAAUCCCUUAGUUGACGCUUCUCCAUCUUCAGAACCUCAUUCAGCUCCUGCAAGUGAUAAUACCCAGGAUUCCCCCAAUGUUUGUUCUCCAGAUCCAUGUAGCAUAUGGAUGGAAAGUGCUCAUUGAGUAGAGAUGUAAUAACUCUUUUCAGGUAAUUAAACUGUGCACAGUCCACUCUCGCCUUUGUCCAACCUGCUUCUGUUGGUAGAAGAGCCACUGAUGUUCCAUUGUGUGAAGAGAAUCUAAGAAAUUGAUUCUUCGCUGUUUCUAACCCCUUGAUUGUGUUCAAGUCAUCUCCUCAAAUUUCUGGUCCAUAUAACAUUUGGGGGGAUCACUUUGCUACUGAAAAUUGUCAAUCCAGGAUCAAACAACUGACCACCCUCCUUGAAAUAAAACUACAUCAAUGCCUCUGUUGCCUUCUGUGCUUUGCCCUUCAUCACUUCAAUAUCCAGGAAAGGGAUUUGCUAAGCAGGAUUCUGAGAUAUCAAAAAGAUCGAGUUUGCUCUUGUUCAUGAUGGUCCAACAUUUGUUUAUCUCUGUGGAUAUGUUUUCCAAAAACCAUGAACUUAGUUAGAACCUGGGUUACGGGUGAAAAAACAUAAUGGCUAGCCUUUUGUGUAAUUCCCCCUUGAGAACUAUUUUUAGAUUCCCUGCCCCUGCCCAAUGUUCGAAAAUUCCAUUGUUCUAGGCGCAUUUUGCGACAGGGAAUUUCAUUACCGUGAGCAGUUUCUGAGCUCUGGGUGCAGUACUACGCCUAAGAUUUCAGAUUAAAACUGCGGAGUGGAAGGAAAGGAGGGCAUUUUUCUGCCUCCCCACUUCCAGCUGCUCUCUGAAGACUGGAGAAGAGACUCUCUUAGGAAUAUUGGGGGGCAGGGAAAGGACUAGACCUUGUGAAAAAUGAACAUAACACUUUAGCUGCAGUUUCAUUCAUUUCCAGCUUCGCAUUCUUGUUAUUAAAAAGGCACACCUAGACAUUCCAUUGUUGCGCCCAUAACCUAGAAAGUUUAACGUGCCGUUUAGCUCCUAGCUUUCAUAUCUCAGUUUCUAACACUGCCCCUGCCCAUCUUAGCACUGUGGCCCUCGGGAAGUGGCUGGACUACAGCUCCCAUCAUUCCUGACUGUUGAUCAUUCUGGCUGCGGCUGAUGGGAGCUGGAGUCCCAGCAACCCAGGUUCCCCAUCACUGCUUUAGCAAAUGGAACGUGCAUUCUUACAAAACUUUAUCACAACUAUGAGAAUAAGAUGCGUGUUUCUUCUCUCUCUCUCUCUCUCUCUCUCUCUCUUUUAAAUCAGAGUUGGAAUGCUGAUCCUGUUUGGGAGAGAAAUAGAUUAGACCAAAGCGUCAAGGAAACGGUUGUAGCUUUUGUCUUCUGCUGCAUUAUUCACUCUAAUUCCUGCAUGGGCCGGGUGUUUGCUCCAGCUGCGCAAAGCCACAUAAGGAAAUAGGGAAAUACCUAGCAUCUGUUUGGCAUUCCGAUAAAGUCUGCUAUGCCAGCAUAUCACACUUCUCAGAAAUUCCCCAGAGGUAUCAGAUAGGUUUCCUCCUGACCUGGCAGUCAGGGGAGCAUUGGAAAUACAGCAAGCUCUCUAGAUCAUGUGCAGAUAUUUAAUUCUGUUUUUGCCUGCAGUCUACUGCAGAUCACAUGCCAUGCUGUUUAUUGCUGGCUGGGCUGACAGCCAGCUAUGAGCGAGACUAGUCUUUUCCCCUUCGCUUUAUUGAACUACCUCUUCUCUCUAAACCAAAAUCAAGUAUCGGUUUCCUAGGUAAGUUAGCAGAGCGUCUUGCCGUCAGACAUGGGCAUGCAGUCAGCUGCUGCAUAUCAGGGUCAGAGGUCUGGAGCGGCAAUGCUAGCAUUAGAAGAAGAACCUAGGAAACUGCUUUAUAUGAGGUCCAUCUAGCUCAGAAUUACCAUUUUUUUUGCUCUAUAAGAUUCACUUUUUCCCUCCUAAAAAGUAAGGGGAAAUGUGUGUGCGUCUUAUGGAGCGAAUGCAGGCUGCGCAGCGAUCCCUCUUGCUGUUCUGGCUUCUGAGAUUCAGAAUAUUUUUUUUCUUGUUUUCCUCCUCCAAAAACUAGGUGCGUCUUGUGUUCUGGUGUGUCUUAUAGAGCGAAAAAUACGGUAUCUAUUGCUCUGACUGGCAGUGGCUUCUGGGGCUACCUGCUCCUUUAAAAAACAAAACAGCAACCAGAGAUGCUGGGGAUUGAACCUGGGAGCUUUCACAUGUGAGGCAAGCGCUCUGCCACUGAACUAUGGGAAGGACGGCACACUGAAAGGUAUUAGUAAGUUGAUAUAUCAAUUACAUUUAAUCCUCUACAGAGCCACGUGUGUGGGCUAACACAAAGAAAAAUGGCUUGUGCCUGUUUUUAAAAAACAUAAAGGCAGAGUUUAAAUCCCAUCAUUAGGCAGAAUUUAAUUGAAGCCUCAAGGGACGUGGGUGGCGCUGUGGGUUAAACCACAGAUCCUAGGACUUGCCGAUCAGAAGGUCGGCAGUUCGAAUCCCCGCGACGGAGUGAGCUCCCGUUGCUCGGUCCCAGCUCCUGCCAACCUAGCAGUUUGAAAGCACACUGGUGCAAGUAGAUAAAUAGGUACCGCUCCGGUGGGAAGGUAAACGGUGUUUCCGUGCCCUGCUCUGGUUCGCCAGAAGCGGCUUAGUCAUGCUGGCCACAUAACCCGGAAGCUUUACGCCGGCUCCCUCGGCCAAAAAAACGAGAUGAGCGCCGCAACCCCAGAGUCGGUCACGACUGGACCUAAUGGUCAUGGGUCCCUUUACCUUUACCUAAUUGAAGCCUCACCCCUUUGCCAUCCCUUUCCUUGCAGGCUUCCCAAACAGCUCUUCCCUUAAUUGAGAAGGGGUGUAUUAUAGGGGCGCUGUUUGCCCAGCUGCUCUCUGAAGCACUUCCCACCUUUCUUUAAAUGCCUCUCCUUCCUCCAUGGCUGCUCAACACCCCUGGCCACUUGCUCGCUUGCUCACCUGCUUGCUGUUCUGUCAUCAUGCUGCAGCUGGUGGGGCCACUGAUGGACUACAGCGUGACUCUCGCAAUAAUAUACAGUAUAUACAGAUGCAGAUAAUGUGUCCGGUGUGUUUGAACUGAGCCAAGUUAGUUGCACUCUGGUCCCACUGAAAUCAGUGGGUUGUGUUUUCCAUGACUUUAACUGAAGCCUCAUAGAUCUCAGUGGAAACUAAGGGCAACUAACUUGGAGUGCAUCCUCAGAAGUAAGUUGCACUGAGUUUAGUAAGGCUGGCUGCCCAGUAAGUGAAUAUAGGAUUGCAGCCUUAGUAUGGAUCUAAUCUAGAGUUUUGUUAGUGCCAACAAAUGCUUUGCAUUGUCUUAUUCUGAUGAAGUCACCUCCCAAAGCUCACUUGGGCCCCAAUCUUCAGUAUACAUUUUAAACCCUAUCCUGCUACUUUAAUCAGUCAUGACUUCCCCCAGAGAAUCCUGGGAACUUUACUUUGUUGAGAGUUGUUAGUAGACUUCCUUUUCCUUUCACAGAGCUACAGUGCUCAGAUUGGUUUAACGGUCAACCUCUCUCCACAGAGGACCUUGAACAAACUUCAGUUUCCAGGAUUCUGUGAGGGAAGCCAUAGGGGGAUACCACUUUAAAUGUAUAUUGCAGGUGGGGACUUAGCUACAGUCCAGUACCCAGUUUCCUGGGAGUAAACACUGCUGUACUCAAUGGGACUUUAUUUUCAGUAGAUGUGUGUAGGAUUGUGCUGUUGGAGUAUGUCUUCCAAACUUGGGAGCCCAUAUUGUGGGGAUGGGGGGAAUCUGUGGCCCCUAAUGUGGUGUAGUGGUUAGGAGCAAUGGACUCGUAAUCUGGUGAACCGGGUUCGCUUCCCCGCUCCUCCACACGCAGCUUCUGGGUGACCUUGGGCUAGUCACACUUCUCUGAAGUCUCUCAGCCCCACUCACCUCACAGUGUUUGUUGUGGGGGAGGAAGGGAAAGGAGAUUGUUAGCCGCUUUGAGACUCCUUAGGGUAGUGAGUGAUAAAGCGGGAUAUCAAAUCCAAACUCCUCUUCUUCAGAUCUUGCUGGACUCCAACUUACGUACAGCAUGGCCAGUGGUCAGGGGUGAUGGGGAGCAACAUCCGGAGGGCCACAGGUUCCCCAACCGUCCUGUACUGUGGGGGCGAACAAAAUAAUUUCGACCAGUGUGUGUAGCAGUCCCCUAACAGUGGCAUGUCUGCUUAGAGAAUCCAGUUGAUUCAUGCUAAUAAUAAAUGUAAAGUGGUGCUGCAAGGUUUCAUCAGUAGAUGAAUUAAUCAAAGCUUUACUGAAUUGGCGAGGACUUGAGAUCUUGCUUGGGGCUUGUUUUGGUUCUGUGUCACUGUAAUAGGGAAUGCAAAAGACAACAUUACCUUAAAAAAAAAGGUGGUGAUAGUUGUUUCCAUUUGCUAUACUGUAUUGCAAGUUGCCUUAAUCUUUCUUAGUCAUAUUAAAACCCUAUAAUAAUGAUAUACAGUGGUACCUCGGGUUACAUACACUUCAGGUUACAGACUCCGCUAACCCAGAAAUAUUACCUCGGGUUAAGAACUUUGCUUCAGGAUGAGAACAGAAAUCAUGCUCCGGUGGCGGGGUGGCAGCAGGAGGCUCCAUUAGCUAAAGUGGUGCUUCAGGUUAAGAACAGUUUCAGGUUAAGAACGGACCUCGGGAACGAAUUAAGUUCUUAACCCGAGGUAUCAUUUAUAUUGUGCUCUCACAAUAUUCAGUGCUAGUGUCAAACUUCUGGAUGCUACUGGUUUUAGCAAGACUUAUUUCUUGCUUUUAAUAUUUUUGCUUUUGUUCUGAAAUGGAUAGUUUUUAGAUCUUAAUCAAAAUUCUAUUUUUACAUUAUUUAUUUUUAUGUAUCCGCUGCUACCUUGAAUAUCUAAUGUGUAAUGUUGCCUGAAUUUGUUUAUUUUCCUGUUCCUUCAGACCCCCUUUCCUUUUCUACCAUGUCUAUUGUAAUGUAGGACACUGUGCUAUUAAAAAACUACAUAUAGAUGAUUUAUGAAUACAGUGGUACCUUGGUUUACAAACUUAAUCCGUUCCAGAAGUCCGUUCUUAAAGCAAAGUGUUCUUAAACCAAGGUGUGCUUUCCCAUAGCAGUGGGGGACUCAAUUUACAAAUGGAACACACUCAAAAGGAAGUGAGACAUGUUCUCAUUCCAAGGCAAAGUUCACAAACCAAAACACCUACUUCCGGGUUUGCAGCAUUCUUAACCCAAGUUGUUCAUAAACUCAGCUGUUCUUAAACCAAGAUACCACUGUAAUAAUAAUAGAUAGGUGUGCUAAGAAGUCAGAAUAUAAAAUACCAUAUUUUUUGCACCAUAACACUCACUUUUUUCCUCCUAGAAAGCAAGGGGAAAUGUCUUUUUUUUUUUAAUAAGAUAUUUAUUAAGAUUUUUUUAAAUAUUACAAUAACAAAUGGAAAAAAAAUUACAAAAUAAAAAUGAUUAAAAACCACUCAAUUUUUCCAUUGCUUAUUUUUCCUUAGCUUGUUUCCCGGACCUCCUCAUACCUCCCUUUUUUGUAUUCCAGUUCAGUUUGUUGGUUCAGCAAAUCCUUACCCUCUUUAUUUGUCCUGAUCUUUGGUCUUAAAAUAGUAACGUUAGAUUUUUACCUCUUAACAACCCAUUUUUCAUAUUCCCUUAAAGCAUUACAGCUGGAAACCACUUAAUUUCUAUCCAACAUCGUUCUAACAUUCAUUAAUUUUACAAUAUUUCUGUAGAUAAUCUUUGAACUUCUUCCAAUCUUCUUCCACCGACUCUUCUCCCUGGUCUCGGAUUCUGCCCGUCAUUUCUGCCAGUUCCAUAUAGUCCAUCAACUUCAUCUGCCAUUCUUCCAGAGUGGGUAGAUCUUGUGUCUUCCAAUACUUUGCAAUGAGUAUUCUUGCUGCUGUUGUAGCAUACAUGAAAAAAGUUCUAUCCUUCUUUGGCACCAAUUGACCGACUAUGCCUAGGAGAAAGGCCUCUGGUUUUUUCAAGAAGGUAUAUUUAAAUACUUUUUCAAUUCAUUGUAUAUCAUUUCCCAGAAAGCCUUAAUCCUUGGGCACGUCCACCAAAGGUGAAAGAAUGUACCUUCAGUUUCUUUACAUUUCCAACAUUUGUUAUCGGGCAAAUGAUAAAUUUUUGCAAGCUUGACUGGGGUCAUGUACCACCUGUAUAUCAUUUUCAUAAUAUUCUCUCUUAAGGCAUUACAUGCCGUAAACUUCAUACCUGUGGUCCAUAACUGUUCCCAGUCAGCCAUCAUUAUGUUAUGUCCGACAUCUUGUGCCCAUUUAAUCAUAGCAGAUUUCACCAUUUCAUCCUGAGUAUUCCAUUUCAACAGCAAGUUAUACAUCUUUGACAAAAUCUUAGUUUUGGGUUCUAAUAGUUCUGUUUCUAAUUUUGAUUUUUCCACCUGGAAACCAAUUUUCUUAUCCAACUUAUAUGCCUCCAUUAUCUGAUAAUAAUGAAGCCAAUCUCGCACUUUGUUUUUUAAUUUCUCAAAACUCUGCAAUUUCAGUCUAUCUCCGUCUUGUUCCAAAAUUUCCCAAUAUUUCGGCCAUUUGGCCUCCAUAUUGAGCUUUUUCAGAGCUUUUGCUUCCAUCGGUGACAGCCACCUUGGAGUUUUAUUUUCCAAUAAGUCCUUGUAUCUUAUCCAGACAUUAAACAAUGCUUUCCUGACAAUGUGAUUUUUAAAUGCUUUAUGUGCUUUGACCUUAUCAUACCACAGAUAUGCAUGCCAUCCAAAUACAUUGUUGAACCCUUCUAGAUCCAAAAUGUCAGUGUUUUCAAGAAGCAACCAUUCUUUCAACCAGCAAAAAGCUGCUGAUUCAUAGUAAAGUUUAAAGUCUGGCAGGGCAAAUCCACCUCGUUCCUUUGCAUCUGUUAAUAUUUUAAAUUUUAUUCUAGGUUUCUUGCCCUGCCAGACAAAUUUAGAAAUAUCUCUCUGCCACCUCUUGAAACAGUCCAUUUUGUCCACAAUUUGCAGUGUUUGAAACAAAAACAACAUUCUAGGCAAUACAUUCAUUUUUACUGCAGCAAUACGGCCCAGCAGUGAAAGCUUCAAAUUUGACCAAAUUUCUAAAUCUUUUUUCACUUCAGCCCAGCAUUUUUCAUAGUUGUCUUUAAAUAAAUUCCCAUUUUUUUGCUGUCAUGUUAAUCCCCAAGUAUUUAACUUUCUUAACCACUGUUAAACCUGUCUCAUUCUGAAACCUCUCUCCAUUGGUGUUAAAUUUUUCUCUAAAACCUUGGUCUUUAACUUAUUCAACUUAAAUCCUGCAACUUGACCAAAUUCUUGAAUCAGUUCUAAAACUCUUUUGGUACUAGAUUCUGGUUCCUGUAACGUCAAUACUAAGUCAUCUGCAAAUGCUCUCAAUUUGUACUGUUUGGCUCCGACCUGUAUACCUUUAACCAACCGGUCCCUUCUAAUCAUGUUCAGCAGAACCUCCAGGACCGAUAUAAAAAGCAAUGGGGAAAUUGGGCAACCUUGUCUUGUCCCUUUUUCUAUCCUAAAUUCUUCCGUCACCACAUUAUUUACAAUUAGUUUAGCCUUUUGUUCUGAAUAAAUUGCACUUAUACCGUUUUCAAAACCUUGGCCUACCCCCAUCCCCUGUAGGUUCUUCUUCAUAAAACUCCAAGAGAUAUUGUCAAAAGCUUUCUCCGCGUCCACAAAUAUCAAAACUGCUUUAGUAUUUAUGUUUACUUCUAGUUUUUCCAAAAUAUCAAUUAUAUUCCUCAAAUUAUCGAACAAGUAUCUUCCCGGGAGAAAGCCCACUUGGUCUUUAUGAAUCUCUUCCAUCAAUACUUUUUUCAAUCUCUUGGCCAAAAUGUCUGCAAAAAUUUUGUAAUCCACAUUAAGUAACGAUAUGGGGCGGUAGUUCUUAAGCUGAGUCUUUUCAGUCUCUGUCUUCGGUAUAAGUGUAAUGUACGCCUCUUUCCAAGACUCUGGUGCCCUUUUCCCUUCCAGUAUUUCAUUGCAGACUUCCUUUAAAGGUUGUAAUAACCACUCUUUCAAAGAUCUAUAAUAUCUAGAAGUCAGCCCAUCCGGUCCUGGAGAUUUGCCUAAUUGCAUAUUUUGAAUGGCACCUUCUACUUCCUGUUCAGAAAUUUUAUAGUUCAGCAUUAACUUACUUUCUUGGGAUAUUUUUUGUAAUCCAUUUGUCUUCAGAAAUCGGUCUAUAUCCAUUUCCUUCUGUGGCCCUUGUGUAUAUAGUUGUUUAAAGUACCUCUGGAAACAAUUUCUAAUCUCAGUUGGGUUAUGUAUAUUCUUUCCUUCCACUUCUAAAUUUGUGAUAGUAUUUAAUUUUUGUCUUUUUUCAUUUGCCAGGCCAGCAAUUUCCCACAUUUGUUAGCNNNNNNNNNNNNNNNNNNNNNNNNNNNNNNNNNNNNNNNNNNNNNNNNNNNNNNNNNNNNNNNNNNNNNNNNNNNNNNNNNNNNNNNNNNNNNNNNNNNNUUUUUUCAUUUGCCAGGCCAGCAAUUUCCCACAUUUGUUAGCUGAUUCAAAUGUUUUUGUCUCAUUUGUUUAAUUUUCCAUUCUAUUUCCUGAUUCAUCAUUUCCAUAUAUUGUACUUGAUAUAACUUUAUUUCUCUCAAAAUCUCCUGCGACUUUGGUUUUGCUCUCAAUUUCUUUUCACUUUCUUUUAUUUUCCCCAAAAUUUUAUCUUUCUUCUCAUUUUGACUUCUCUUCUUUAUUGCAUUCUGUUGUAUCAGAAACCCUCUCAUGACAGCUUUACUUGCGUCCCAGAUUACUCUUUUUUCUACAUUAGUAUUCAUAUUUAUUUCAAAAUAGUCUCUCAAGGUUUUUUGGGCCUUUUUAUAAACUUCUUUAUCUCUAAAUAGGGUGUCAUUCAUCCUCCAUCUGUAGGAGCCAGUUGAUGUUAGUUUCAACUCCAUCCUUACCGCAUUAUGGUCGGAGCAGGUUUUUGGGCAGAUUUCCACUUUCAUUGUCUUUGGUGCCAUUCCUCUAGUUACCCAUAUUUGGUCAAUUCUAGUCCAUGUCAUCUUAGCUUCAGAAAAGAAGGUUCCCUCUCUUCUCAAGGGGUUCUUUGUUCUCCAAGUGUCCACUAAAUCAAAAUUGUCUAUCAUCUCAAAAAAUGUUUUCGGUAGUCUACCAUCCUUGGUAACUGCCUGUCUCUGUGCCUUAUCCAUGUUUGUAGAUACUACUCCAUUCAUGUCCCCCAUCAAAAUCAGAUUGUAAUCCAAAUAAUCCAGUAAGGUCUCAUGCAACUUUUUAAAGAAGUCAGAUUUCCCCUCAUUCGGUGCAUAAAUUCCUACUAUCAAAAAUUUCUCUCCUUGAACUUGAAUUUCAAUUGCCAAAAAUCUUCCUUGAUCAUCUUUAAAAAUUAAUUUCGGUGAUAGUCUCUCCUUUGCAUAUAUCACAACUCCUCUUUUUUUGACUUUGUCAGAUGAGAUAAACUCCUGUCCCAAUCUCUUAUUAAUCAGUAGUUUCCUGUGUAACCUUGUUACAUGUGUUUCUUGUAGACAAAUCAAGUCCAAUUGUUCCUUUUUAGUAAAUGAAAAACACUUUUUCUCUUUCGAGGAGAGUUCAAACCAUUACAAUUCCAACUUAACAGUUGCAGAGCCAUGAUGGGGUUACUUCACUUUACCUCCAACUGCGCCAAGUGUCUGUUCUUGUUCUGUCAGUGGUAUCUCUUUCUCUGGACCAUGCAGUCCAAAAGUUAAAUUUGCUAUGUCUAGUAUUCCUUUUUCCAGUGCUUUUGGCUCUUCUCCGGAUUCCACUUCUUUCUGUAGAUUUUCUCCGUGAUCCUUCAGAAACCUAUCUUUGUCAUUGACUGAUCUUAUUUUUAUCUUUCUUCCUUUAUAUUUAAAGGACAGGCCUUGAGGGAAUUCCCACCUAAAGAUGAUUCUAUUUCUUCUCAGCAGGGCAACCAGAUCUCCGUAGUUGAGCCUUAAGUCCAAAAGAUGUUUUGGAAUGUCCUUGAAUAUCUCCACACUUGAAUCGUAAAUUUCCAAAGUCUUUUGGUAAUGCAGAUUCAAAAUUUUGUCUCUCUCCUCUUUUGUUCGAAGGGUAAUCAAGCAGUCUCUCACCUUAUUCCUCCUUCCUCCUCUUCCAAGUCUAAAUGCACUCUCUAUCUUAAAUUCUUCCUUCCCCAAACCCUGUUGCCAGAAAUCUGCGAAUUCCUGUGUAAGAAAAUCAGCCAAAUUGUCUUUCUCACAUUCUGGUACAGCCCUGAUUCUUAAAUUUCUUUGUUUCUCUUUCAAUUCAAUCAUAGACAAUGUCAAGCCGUGGUCCUCCAGUUGCUUAUAUACCGGUGGUAUCUUCUCUUGAGUAGCAGUUGCUAUAUCUUUUGCUUCUUCAGCUAUCUUUCGAGUCGAAGCAGAUUCCUGUAGUAAUUUUUCAAUAGACUCUGUGUUGGUAUUCACCUUCUGUCCCAAAUUAUUGAUCCUUGUAGUAUUCUGGUCAAUUUUAGCUGAUGCUUGUUUAUUUGUUUCAGCUACUUGUCUAGCUAAAUUUUCCAAAGAUUCAUUAAUUUUUCCAAGUGCCUGUGCCAAAACGUCUUUGGACGACAUAACUUUUGGUUUAACCUGUGGAGGUGCAGCCCCUGGUAUUCUAGAUGGUCCAGAUGUUGAAGCCCUUCGCUGCAACGCAGUAUCUGUCCGAUAGGGUCUGCCAGACCUAGUAGUUUUUUCCUGUGCCAACUCUAACUUUCCUCUUCCAUCUGCCAUAACACUCUCAUGAGAAUUCAAGGUCGAUCCCACGGCUGGAAAUUUGUUUUGAAAUGGAAAAUCCCUCUAGCCCAGUUGUUAUUGUAGCAAUGUCAAGCCUCCUCUAGGGGGACACAGUAACAGCCAAAGCUUGCAACUUUUAAAAAAGAAAAUAGUCCUUAUAAGUCCCCCAAUUCACAUAAAAACAACAGUUUCAGUUGCACUUAAUCAGUUAUUUUAAAACCAGGAGAAGUUCAGAAACACUGUAUCUCUUUUGCAGAGUUAGCUGUCAAAAGUCCUCUGCUUACCAAUAGGCUUUCCACAGAACGGCAUUCCUUAUCUCGGGGCAGUCCGUUCCCAGGUUUUAGGCGGUGGAUUUUAACUUCCUUUCCCCCUUUUUUUGCAGAUAAAUACAGUUCAAACCUUUCCCCCCUCCUCUCCUGCAAUCCGGAGGGGAGAUCUCUUUCCAGAUGUUAAGAUUUAAGUCUUUUUUCAAACGUCUUUCCGAGUUUCCGCUUACAGUCUCUUUGCUUUGAUAUAUUUACAAGAAAGGAAGGCAGACUUCCUGUUUAUACCUUCCCGCUUCGGUGCCGAAUUAACUUGUUUUUCCCCUUUAAAUCCAAUUUAAUCCUACUCACGGGUAGUUGCUUUCAAAGUCAAAUUGUCCCAGGAAAAAGUAAGCGCUCUCCGAUAACGGCUAUGCGGCUUCACUCCGCGGAAGAAGCAGUCGACUCUCAGCACCGCGCCACUCACCCCGUCCUGCUCCGGAGCCCUUAAAAGGGUCCCUUCGCAACUUGGGGGGGCGCAAAAGGUGCCUGCUGAGUCCCCACGUUCACAGGCUUCGCCCGCCUGUGAUUUUUAAAGGGCCCCCGCUUCGCCGCAGCGGUAAGACCCGAUCCCGCGGAGCUGGUCCCUCAGAGACUCAGAGGGAAUCCGCCAUUAUCGAUGGCGCCAACCCGGAAGUCCUAAGGGGAAAUGUCUGUGCGUGUUAUGGAGCAAAUGCCUACGGAUGGCGGGGGGAUCUGCUGCAGUCGUGAGCAGAGGAUCCGUGGUUUCCCUUCCUUCCCUCCUCCGUGGCUUGCUUUGAAACAGCAAAGCGGGAGAAGAGCCGCUGAGUGGGGAGGAGAGAGGGACAGAGAGCCUGCUUGCUUUAAAGGAGCAAAGCGGGAGAGGAGAGGAGCCACUUACACGAGUGUAAGCGGCUCCUGUCCGGUUGGCUCCUUUAAAGCAACCAUGUCCCUCUCUCCUCCCCACUCAGCUCGCUAAAUAGCAGCAAAGUUUUUCAGCGAGCGGGGAGGAGGGAGAGAAGCAGAGCCUGCUUGCUUCUCCUCUUAUACCCCUCUUCUGCAUUAUUAACAGCAUCCUUCUCCACCCACCCCACGCGUGUUCCUUGUCCCUUGAGUGCUUUUCCUUCCCUCCCCACUUAAAACAUGGUUACAAAGCACGGAUCCACAUGGAUCUUCAGGAUUUUUGCACUGGGUCACCCCAAAUUCACCAUCAGAUCACAUAGCAUGUCCAUGGCUACAGCUUGCACCAAAAAAAUCACACACCCACUGUUGCCUGGGGCUGCAGUGGUGCAAAAACAUGGUUACAAAGCAUGGAUCCACAUGGAUCCUCAGGAUUUUUGCAUUGGGCUACCCCAAACUCACCGUCAGAUCACAUGUCUGUGGCCACAGCAUGAACCACAAAAAUCAUACAUCCGCUGUUUCGUUUAGAAUUUUUUUUUCUUGUUUUCCUCCUCUAAAAACUAUGUGCGUGUUAUGGCCGGGUGCGUGUUAUAGAGCGAAAAAUACGGUAUUUUAUGAUUUCUGUAACUCUAGGAACAAUAUUGUUAUUUUGGUCAGUAUUAUAAUAAUUAGUGCUUUGCUGAAAAUUAGUGCUUCUGCAUUUCCCCCCGACCAUUCUCCUUCAGUUAAGGAUAAAAGAAAAUUGAAAAUUAUAAAGGGGAUAAUCUGUGUGUGUGCAUGUGAAAUUCUCAUGAGGACAGGGGUUUUGAUACAUUUGCCAUACUCAAGGGUUGUUUGUGAGUGUCUUUCAUUCUGCAAAUAACUCCUCCCAUGGGGUUCUUUCAGAGCAGGAGUGUAAGCACCCAGGGAGGCUGCAGAAUGUUGGAGAAUUGUUACAAGGUAGGGUUAGAACAACACAGCCCCUGAGUUUCUAAAGGGCUCCUGAGAUAGAAGAAUGAAGCCUCUUUCUCAGAGGAAGGAAACUUUCAGGAAAAUGAACAGAUUUUGGCAUAGUAGUACUAGCAGACCUUGUAGCUUGGGUGAAUUAUAUUGGAAUAAUCACUUACAGUUCUUGGAAUUCAAAGGCUUUAUUCAUGCAGGAACUAGUUACAGAGUGAGUGGAGUUGAGAGAGAGAGAGAAAGUAGCAGAUAUCUUCUCUGGAGAGAAGAACAAACAAAAAUUGCUCAUCCUUUAGGAGUAGAAUUAACAUAGACAGAGAGCUACAAAAAUGGCUGGCUAAAUUUCUAUACAAACAGUGUCCUCUGGUGUUUAAAGUAACACAUGCAUUAACUAUGAACUCAAGAAAAAGAAAUGUAUUUGCUUUUCUUCAACAAGUACUACUAGUCUGGUGUAUGAUUGAGAGUUUAUUUCUCACUGAGCUGAUAAGCCUGCAUCUCAGCUGUAACACUUCAGACUGAAGGUGGAAAUUUGCAAUACUAAAUGUUCCUCUAUUUAUUUAUUUUUAAUUCUUCACAUGAAAAAAUAUUAGGAAGAAAGUCCUUUCCCAGUCAUCCUGGCUUUGUAUGGAUAAAUCAAAGGAUAAAUUAAUAGGAGAGAGAGCUAACUUGGGUUUUAAGGGAAGUUUGGUUUGGAGGAUAAAGUUUGGCACGGUGGCUCAACUGAGGCUUGAUCAAAUACAGUGAAUAUACAAAUAACUUCCAAGUUUUGAAUUGGUGGAUGGAAAGAAUGGAUAAGAGAAAAGGACUUAAAAGAAAGUGAGGCUGAAGAAAGAAGUGGAAUGGCAAUCAGGAAACAGGGAAGGAUUUCAGCAGAGAAAUGGCGAGGAACCACCUUGACCAUUUUGUAUAUGUUGUAAAGGCUGCAGCCCUAUGGAUACUUAUCUGUACAGGAGGCACCAUUGAAUUUUCUGAGUAAACAUGCAUAGAAUUGGCCUGAAAAAUGGAUAGACACAGGGAUGAUCUCUCACCUGACACUGCUCUGUUUGCCUGCCUGCCUUUGUGUUUUGGAAAACAAGCUUGUUCUGCUGAGCACAGUUGCGAAAACAUUUUGGUCUUGCCUUCCCCCUGUAGCUUAAGCAAUCAAUUAUUCACAAAAUAUCUCCUUGAUCUUCUGCAUAAUGCAACAGAAAUUGAUUUAGAGGAAGAGGGCUCUGUCAUCUCCUUCCCAAGUUAUAAGCUAUCUGCAGUUGUUGGGGUUGGGGUUUUUGAGGACUUUUAUACUUAAAAACCAACAACCCUGAAACAGAGUUUUUAUCGUGCAAUAUUUAUGACAUACUAAUGGAGGGUGGGGGAGAGAGAUGAAUGGCAGGUUUGUUCCUUCUAGCCUCAAAUAUUUCAGAAGAGUGAAACUUUAGGUUACUUCCUGAUAAACCACCCUUGCUUCCUGUUUUGCCCCACAAUUGCUGGAGGCAGACUCUCUAAGGAUUUGAAAAAGAAAAAUAUAGAAGGGGAGCAUAAAUCGCUAUGGACAGCUGAAACUGGAAACUAAGAUAAAAUGAAAAGGAGAAGGUAAUGAUAAAACAGAGAAGGAAGCAAGAUGGUAGAGUGAAUAAUGGUAUUUGGCAUUGAACAGUUGGUGUACCAGCAGGACAGCUGGAAAAGGUUGGAUACCUGUAAAUAUGUCUCUGAAGCAAUGUCACAUUGAAGCAAAUUAUUAUUGGAGAAAAUCAUGUGUUAGUACGAUUUCAAUUUGGGAAACAAGAAAGGAGUUUAGCACCCCUCCCCUACAGUUCUCAUAAUGUAUCAGUUGCAAGAAGCACAAUGUUUCUUUUUACAAGCAUACAGUAUAAGGUAAAGGUAAAGGUAAAGGGACCCCUGACCGUUAGGUCUAGUCACGGACGACUCUGGGGUUGCGCGCUCAUCUCGCUUUAUUGGCCGAGGGAGCCGGUGUACAGCUUCCGGGUCAUGUGGCCAGCAUGACUAAGCCGCUUCUGGCGAACCAGAGCAGCGCACGGAAAUGCCGUUUACCUUCCCGCCGGAGCAGUAUCUAUUUAUCUACUUGCACUUUGACAUGCUGUCGAACUGCUAGGUUGGCAGGAGCUGGGACCGAACAAUGGGAGCUCACCCCGUCACGAAUUCGAACCGCUGACCUUCUGAUCAGCAAGUCCUAGGCUCUGUGGUUUAACCCACAGCGCCACCCGCAUCCCUUUUGCAGUAUAAGGUAGGUAAGUAAUAUUUCAGUAUUGUGGGUGAGAGCAAGAGGCUCAUCUAGCAAGUACAUAGCAGAGGGGAGAUUUAAAUCAGGGAUUUUCUGAUUUUCAAGCUCUGUCCUGUUAUAACUGCUGUGCUACACCAGCUCUCAAAAUUGGCAAAUUUCUUGCUCCUCAGGCAACGCUCGAAGCAUCUUACAUUAGCUAAUCUGGCAGGGAGUGUUUGCAGCUGCUGGUAGCUGCUCUCAGAGUCAUCCUUGCUGUGCCGAGUUCCCUGGAAGCGGCUGGAGGACUCCCUCUCCUUCUCCCACACCCAGCCCUGCCCAGCCUUUGUGCGUCAUUUAGGGAGUCCCCGUGCUUGGCUGCCUUCCAAGACAGCAACCUUUGUCAGAAGCGUUAGCAAUUCCUGCUUCGUGCUGUGAAGCUCGUGCUGUGAUUUCUUUUCUCUCCCCUGUUCAAAUGCCCCCUCUUACUUGUGCGUGGAGAAAAGCUGUGGGCAGGAUUCCUUGCUUGAGGGCUCUAUCCUGCUUGUCUCUAUGGCUCAGUGAGAGCAUAUCCUACCUUCAUCCUCCCAUUUCUGAGGUUGGCUGCUAAUCCUCAGCAUUGUUUCAAAGGAGGAACAUCCCUUCAAAGGCAAAGACUUUCAGCCGCAACUGCUUCUUGAGCUCUUAGCUAAGCUGGUCCACAGCCAAAGUGGGUUUUUAAUUGAACAUUCAGUGUGCUGAUUCACAUCCUAUGGUUGCCACCCCAUUGCAGCCCCUUGUACUGGGAUACUCUUGCUGGUUUGGUGCGUCCCAAAGGGGCAUUUUUGUGAGUUUUCCAGCCAAGGCUGGCUUCGCACACCUGCUGUCAUUUUGCUGUAAUGGUACACAUGACAUUGAGACAGGCUUGUUGAGGGCGAGGGAGAUGACACGGAGUGUGGCAAGAGCCCUGUGCCAAAGGCUGACAUCACCAGGCUGACUUUAAAAGAUGCCAAAACUCAAUGUAAGUGUGAGAUCCAGCGGCAUGUCUUUUCUGAAAUAGCACGGGUCCUGUUUUCAGGGUCAGAGUUGAGUCUAGGUCCUGGGUAUGGAGUGGGUUAAGGGGCGUUAACCUUUCUUGGUGCACAUCCCGCUGGACUCCUUUGGGAGGCGAUAAAUUUAUAUCAUCAUCAUCAUCAUCUGCCUCAGCAGCCUGAACCUGAUAAAGACCGCUGUGCCUCCAAUUUACUGUACUUUAAAACACCAUUCACUAAUUGUGUGAACUGCAUAGUAUACAGUUUGACUCUAAGGCUGUAGUCCUUAUCUGCAGGUAAGCCCCGGUGAAUUCAGUAGGACUUACUGCUAAAUAGACAUGGUUAAGCUAGCUCUAUAAGCGACUGCGUAGCAAGCACCCUUUGGCAGAGCCAUAGCUAGGUGAUCUUGCGCCCCUGGCACAGCCGUCCAGAUUGCGCCCCCUAGCCAUGGACAAAUUAGCUCUUCUUUCUGCCUCUCCUCCAACCCCCCAACCCCCCAAUUCAAUUCACCCUCUAUUUAAAACCUUUUCUUAUGAGGCAAUAAUCGAUAUUUUUAUUUAUAGACAUAUUUAUGGACAUAUUUUUAAGCUGAUUUUGCGCCCCCAGCUCAUCUGCACCCCUGGCGGGGGCCCGUUUCACCACCCCCUAGCUACGGCCCUGCCCUUUGAGUGUUCCGCCUCAGGUGUCAAAAUAUUGUUAAAGGUUUGGAGGAGGAACCCCCUAAACAUGAAUAAAAAGUAGAAUUUUGAUUAUUUGGGAUGUGGAGGGAGACGUACAAGCUGCAGAGGAAUUCCUAGGCUAGGUUAUGCAGAACAACCUGGUCAAGCUGGGGCCAUUAAGAUACAAUGCAGGGCUAAUGGCAAGGCAAGGGAACUGUCCUGCCACUCAUCCCUGAGAUGUGAGCAGAGACGGGGAAUUUGGAAGGUCGCCAGGGUAACCUGGCAUGUCACAGGAAGAGUCUGGAGCCUUUGGCACAAGGCUUGGAACAGCUGAAAAAAGGCCAGAACGACUGGCUGGCUGGCUGAAGGCAAGUAGGGAGAAAUGCCCCGGACACAAUAGCUUGUACCGCUGUGGAGAACAAGCCCCUCUUGAAAGGACCAUGCUGCAAGAUAGGGACUCCAUGCAUACUUUGUUGUUGUUUAGUUGUGUCCGACUCUUCGUGACUCCAUGGACCAGAGCACGCCAGGCACUCCUGUCUUCCACUGCCUCCCGCAGUUUGGUCAAAAUCAUGCUGGUAGCUUCGAGAACACUGUCCAACCAUCUCGUCCUCUGUCGUCCCCUUCUCCUUGUGCCCUCAGCCUUUCCCAACAUCAGGGUCUUUUCCAGGGAGUCUUCUCAUCUCAUGAGGUGGCCAAAGUAUUGGAGCCUCAGCUUCAGGAUCUGUCCUUCCAGUGAGCACUCAGGGCUGAUUUCCUUAAGAAUGGAGAGGUUUGAUCUUCUUGCAGUCCAUGGGACUCUCAAGAGUCUCCUCCAGCACCAUAAUUCAAAAGCAUCAAUUCUUCGGCGAUCAGCCUUCUUUAUGGUCCAGCUCUCACUUCCAUACAUCACUACUGGGAAAACCAUGCAUACUAAAGGUGUAUAUAUGUGAAUAAACCAUAUAUCUUAAAGCUACGAUGGCCUCUGCUGUGUUUUGCAUCUCAAACAAGCACAGACCCUGGGUGAACACCUGGAACCCCCUGGAAUCUUGCCACGGCUUGGUAGAGAUUGGGAGUGGCGCCCAACUUUUGUAACAAUAUAUUGAACUGACCCAAGCACUGAGCAUCUCAGUCCACUUGCGUGCGGACUGAAUCCUUUGCUGACUUUGCAGUAGAAGGCAGCCAGCCACCUGUUAUCUUAGCCCCACCAUUGCGUCCCACUUAUGAUUACUUUCCCCAGCCCCUAUUUGCUUUAUAGGCUGCUUAGGACAACGUGUUCUUAUGGGCGAGAAAGUCACUGCUUAGCUACUCUGAUGUGAGCGGACUGUGUGUCUCCUGGCAGCCAGCUUUCAAGGCUAGAGCUUGUUACUUCUGUUAAUAGCUGUACUAUUCUGAGAGGUCCCUAAAGGAGCUGGUUGUGUUGGCCUUGUGCUUGUGCACUCUCUCCCUCCCUCCUCCUUUUCUAUUUUAUUUCUUAAUACAGAGGUUUUCAACCUUUUUAAGUGCACGGCUCCCUUUACCAAGUACAUUUUUUCUGCAGCACCCCUGUGAGUAAACAUGCACCCAGCCACAGAAGCCCAGUUAUGUCAACCCUUUCCUGCAGAGCCGACAGCCAUUCAUGCUUUUCAAACACCCUCCCUUGUAGAGUGUUCCCUCACCCUCUUCUCCUCUCCUCUUCCCUCCCCUGGCCAGCCCCAGAGGCACCAUUCAUUCGCCUGGGGAGCUUGUAGCCAGGACUGCUGCAGCAAGGAGCUGCGCAAGCCUUUUGAACAUCAGAGGAGGGAGGGAAGGACAGAGGCCGGAUGUUGUCCGCGGCACCCCUGACCAUCAUGCAAGGCACCCUAGGGUACCACGGCACACUGGUUGAAAACUACUGGGUAAAAUGAAGUUCAAGAAUGCUCAGUCGAGUGCCACCCCUUCCUGGGUCCCAGCCAGGCCUGAUCUGACAUGUGGUCCAAACACUUCUUCCUCUUCUUAAGCGUCUCAAAGUGCAGCUAAGUUAUAGGUAGGCAAAGUAAGGCCAAGGGGCCGGAUGCGGCCCAAUCGCCUUCUCAAUCCGGCACAUGGAUGGUCCGGGAAUCAGCGUGUUUUUACAUGAGCGGAAUGUGUGCUUUUAUUUAAAAUGCAUCUCUGGGUUAUUUGAUGAUCUCCUUCUACUGGUCCACAAUAGAAAGUGUCCUUUCAUACUGCAUCAUGGUGUGGUACGCUGGUUUGACGUAAUCUGAUAGGAAGUGCCUACAGAGGGUGGUGAAUACAGCACAAGAUAUUAUGGGCUGUCCCGUGAAUCCGGUGGAUGAAAUAGCGGAAGAACUUUGCCUCAGGAGAGUGAGGAAAAAUCUCAGGGAUGAUUCACAUCCUGGCUGGCACUUUCUUGAUCUCCUGCCCUUGGGCAGAAGAUAUAGAAGCAUGAUUAGUCGCACCAACAGGGUAAAUAACAGCUUCUAUCUGUGGGCUGUUAGGCUGCUGAAUGAAAAGAUAACAACAAGGCAACUGACUUUUGGGUUUGGUGGGUGCGCAUCAGUAAACGAGGGGAAUUAAGACUAAGAGAGCUGAGUGCUCAUGUGAUCUCUCUGUAUACAAGUUGUACAAGUGGCAAUAAAGUAUUUCAAUUUCAAUUUGUUCAUUCCCCCCCCAAAAUAUAGUCCGGCCCCCCACAAGGUCUGAGGGACAGUGGACCGGCCCCCUGCUGAAAAAGCUUGCUGACCCCUGAGGUGAGCACUUUGACAGUCGCUCUGUCUGGGAGAAAUUUGGGGUAGGGGUGGGGGACACCCAUCGCCCUGAGGGAAAUGGAGGGGAGGGAACUCAGCUGAAAGCCAGAAACUCUGGCAGCUGGUGUGGGCGCCUCCAGCUUUGGGAGCCCAGAUCCAGUGUUUUUUCAGGGUCAUUAUCAAUGCGGAGAUCUACUGGAGGGUCCUGCCCUGCUUGCUUGCCAUCUGAGUGGAGCUCAUGUCUGAGGUCUCAGCAGGGCUGCACCCUGGCAGAUCCUCUGGGUAAUGUUGGACACAGGGAUAAGAAGCUAAAUGCUGAUGCCUAAGGAUGUGCCAAGUUGCACCUAACAAGCUUACCCAGGGAACAGCCGGCCAACGCAAAUCUCCCUCACUCUCCAUUCAACACCCACAGAUGAAAUUUUGAAAAGCGCUUGCAUAAGACGUAAAAGAAGAAUUCAAGUGAAGCGAAAAGCUUUGUGUGGGAUUUACAGUUCCUGGAAGGUGAAGAGAAAAAAUGCAGGAGCGGGAGAUAAUCUGGUUCUGCUGGAAAGAAUAUUAUGGUUCAGCAGCAAAUACUGAGGAUCUUGUUUUGGAACUAGUCCAUCUUAAAAAGUAAUUGUUAAGAAAGGAUAUUUUUGGGUGGAACUUGGUAUUUGGUACAGAAUUUGAUUCGCAGAUCAAUUUAGCCCUCCUCUUUAUUCUUAAAAAUGGAUUAGAAGAGGCCAAGGCAAGGAUUUUGAAGGCACCAACAUUCAGGUGUUGGUAUCAUCCUGUGAUUACAUGGUUAGCUGCACCAUGUCCUAGGCACAGGCAUUGGCAUAGGGGAUGGGCACCCCUUACCUCUUCACAGGAGGGACAUUCUUUGCACCAAGUGCGGGAUUGGUAGAAAGUUCUGUUGUUGGAACAAGUAUAUAAGAUACCAUUACGCUUUCCAUUUUUAAGUUCAGAAUAGAGUAGUUGCUUUGGAAGACGAUAAUCAGGUAUCCACACAACAUGAUCAGUCCAACGAAGGACGUGUGGGUCUGGAAUUGGCCUCCACAGUCACUUACGGACUCAUUGUUAAAACCGUGUUUAUGGAAGGCAAUCUUACUCGGCUGCGAGUGAUCGCCAAAGAAGAAAGAAGAAAAAGUAAGAAGAAGAUAAACCUACCAUGUAGGUUUGCACCUCUUCCAGGCCACUCCUGUUCUAUCCAGGGUCCCACCCUAUUUUAGCUGUUUCACUUGUACAUCUUCACUGGUAGAAGGUUCCACAGGUGUAUUUGUUGUGUUCCACUGGCACAUCUUUCAUGUGGGUGCUGCAUCUUGAGUUUUGGCAGUGCCAAAUCCAAGAGCCUCUUAGCUGGUAGAACUCAAGCAUUGCACAGGAAUGCUCCCUUAAUCAUCUUUCAUGAGAUCUGUGUAUAUCCAUCUGUACCCUGCUUCCAAUGGUCUCUCAUAUUUGGUUCCAGUCCUGGUUUUCUGUUUCAAUCUUAUGUUUUCCUCCACCCUUGCUGUGUAGGUGUUAUAUCUGUCUGCUUUGUAAAGUGUGAUGGUGAUUCUGCUUCUCUUUUCUUGAGAAGUUGUACUCAUCUUCUCUAUUAAACACCAGGCCUAUUCCAAGUAAUUACUUCACAGGAUCUGUGAGCUGCUUGGAGUCACUUACUUACUUACUCUGCCACCCUCCAUCCAAAGAUCACAGGGCAAUUUAAAAAUGCAACAUGAGAACACAAAACAACAACAGCAAACCAAUAACCCCCUCCCACAAAGACCCCCUCCCACAAAGGGUCGUUGUUGUUGUUGUUUAGUCGUUUAGUCGUUUCCAACUCUUCGUGACCCCAUGGACCAGAGCACACCAGGCACUCCUGUCUUCCGCUGUCUCCCACAGUUUGGUCAGACUCAUGUUUGUAGCUUCGAGAACACUGUCCAACCAUCUCGUCCUCUGUCAUCCCCUUCUCCUUGUGCCCUCAAUCUUUCCCAACAUCAGGGUCUUUUCCAGGGAGUCUUCUCUUCUCAUGAGGUAGCCAAAGUAUUGGAGCCUCAGCUUCACGAUUUGUCCUUCCAGUGAGCACUUACGGCUAAUUUCCUUAAGAAUGGAUGCAUUUGAUCUUCUUGCAGUCCAUGGGACUCUCAAGAGUCUCCUCCAGCACCAUAAUUCAAAAGCAUCAAUUCUUCGGCAAUCAGCCUUCUUUAUGGUCCAGCUCUCACUUCCAUACAUCACUCCUGGGAAAACCAUGGCUUUAACUAUACGGACCUUUGUCGGCAAGGUGAUGUCUCUGCUUUUUAAGAUGCUGUCUAGGUUUGCCAUCGCCUUUCUCCCAAGGAGCAGGCGUCUUUUAAUUUCGUGGCUGCUGUCACCAUCUGCAGUGAUCAUGGAGCCCAAGAAAGUAAAAUCUCUCACUGCCUCCAUUUCUUCCCCUUCUAUUUGCCAGGAGGUGAUGGGCCCAGUGGCCAUGAUCUUCGAUUUUUGAUGUUGAGCUUCAGACCAUAUUUUGCACUCUCCUCUUUCACCCUCAUUAAAAGGUUCUUUAAUUCCUCCUCACUUUCUGCCAUCAAGGUUGUGUCAUCUGCAUAUCUGAGGUUAUUGAUAUUUCUUCCGGCGAUCUUAAUUCCGGCCCAGCCUUUCGCAUGGCAUGAUGAAUUCUGCAUAUAAGUUAAAUAAGCAGGGAGACAAUAUACAGCCUUGCCGUACUCCUUUCCCAAUUUUGAACCAAUCAGUUGUUCCAUAUCCAGUUCUAACUGUAGCUUCUUGUCCCACAUAGAGAUUUCUCAGGAGAUAGAUGAGGUGAUCAGGCACUCCCAUUUCUUUAAGAACUUGCCAUAGUUUGCUGUGGUCAACACAGUCAAAGGCUUUUGCAUAGUCAAUGAAGCAGAAGUAGAUGUCUUUCUGGAACUCUCUAGCUUUCUCCAUAAUCCAGCGCAUGUUUGCAAUUUGGUCUCUGGUUCCUCUGCCUCUUCUAAAUCCAGCUUGCACUUCUGGGAGUUCUCGGUCCACAUACUGCUUGAGCCUUCCUUGUAGAAUUUUAAGCAUAACCUUGCUAGCGUGUGAAAUGAGUGCAAUUGUGCGGUAGUUGGAGCAUUCUUUGGCACUGCCCAUCUUUGGGAUUGGGAUAAAAGGGUAUAGGAUGUUAAUCAGCCCAAGACCUGCUUGAAGAGGAACAUUUUCGCCUGGUGCCUAAAUAUGUAUAAUGAAGGAGCCAGCCUGGGGAGAGCGUCCCACAAACUGGGGAACCACUGCAGAAAAGGUUCGUUUUUGUGUUGUGCCCUCCAGACGGCAUAAUGUCUGCACCUUUCGCAUUAUCCACAGGUACUAGGCAGGGAUGCAUUCUGUGUUUUUAAGCUACCCUGUGAUCCUCAGGUGAAGGGUAGUAGAUAAAUUUAAAUAAUUGGCAACCAGUUCAGUCCAGUCAGGAUUGGCAUUACAAUCCUGAUAUUCUCAAAAAUAUCUUGUCCCAAUGAGCAACGUGGGUGCAGAAUUCUGUACCAGCUGAAGUUUCCAAACCAUCCUCAGAGGCAGCCCCAUGUAUACCAUGCUGCAGUGAUCUAUCCUAGAGGUUACUAGAGCAUAAAAAAGCAUUUUGCAGUACUUUCCCUCCCAGCGUUUUGGGUAUCUUCAGCCUUCAUCCAUUUGACCAAUCUUACCUAGGAAUAUAGGAAGAUUUAUUGCGCCCUCGGUGCACCUAUCUCAGUAUUGACAACAUGGACUUGACAGUUGCUCUCCAGGAUUUCAGGCUAUCGUUGGAUUGGCUUAGACAGUUUCUGACUCCCAUAUUUUGACCCACUUACUUCAUGUUAAAAAAGCUAUGGGUAAUACAUCGGUGCUCAGCAUAUUUCCCCCAAGUUUUUAUUCUGUGGUUUGGUAAUAUUAGCAAUUGCAGGUGAAACAUCGCCUUGAGCACCUUAGAGGAAAAGGCAAGAUAUAAAUUAAACAAACAAACAAGUCAUAUUUGUAAUCUGUCACAUGUGUCUGUUAGUCAUUCCACCAAUUAGUUGUGAAUGAUUAUGGCUAGGCUAUAGGUAUGCCCUAAAAUCACACAGACCUGCUAGAGCUGAAGAAGGUUUGAGACUGCUAAGUAAACCAGGGUUGAGGAGGCUUGUGGAGAUCUACUUUGUUUGUUUGUUUUACUAGAGCCUGAUGCCCAUCAACCAGUGCAAAGCACAAAAUAGCAUCUCAGGAAGGAGGACAUAAACCCUUGGCAAUCUAUUGCAAAUCCCCCAGAGAUCUACUAGAAUAUUGUGACCUCACUCAGGGAUAAACUGUUGAGUCACUCUGCAGACAGAAGUUGUAAUUCAUGCCAGCCCUCAUCCUGUGCCAAUGAAGGCUUGCCUGCUAAUGCAAAUAGCGAUUUGCAUGCCCUUUCUGUUUUGCCUACACUGACCUGUCUCUUUCAGGCAGCUGAGUCUUCUUUCAGUUUCUGCCUUAAAGCAAGAAGGCUGUUUCUCAGAGCAUGAGUGGUAGGGAAGUUUCAUUCCUCAAGGCUGAAGCCUCACAUUCAGGCGAGCGCUUCCCUGUGUCUUGAAAUACACCUGGGAACUGUCGCUCGGUAGUGCAAGUGACUUGCCCCUCAGCAAACAGACACCCUUUGAAAUAAACUACACUUCGCUAUUGGAAGGUUAGCAGUUCGAAUCCCCGCGACAGGUGAGCUCCCGUUGUUCAGUCCCAGCUCCUGCCAACCUAGCAGUUUGAAAGCACAUCAAAGUGCAAGUAGAUAAAUAGGUAUCAUUCUGGCGGGAAGGUAAACGGCGUUUCCGUGCGCUGCUCUGGUUUCGCCAGAAGCGGCUUAGUCGUGCUGGCCACAUGACCUGGAAAAACUGUCUGCGGACAAACGCCGGCUCCCUCGGCCAGUAAAGAGAGAUGAGCUCCGCAACCCCAGAGUUGUUUACGACUGGACUUAACUGUCAGGGGUCCUUUACCUUUUUAUUAUUCCGUUGGUUUCCUCAGAAAGCGCUUGGACCAAUGACUCAUUUUCUUCAUGUGCGAUUAAAAGGAUACUUUUAAAAGGAAACUUUCCAUGCUUUUGCAGUCAUUGUUAUUUUGGUGUAAAGUUGGGACAGUCUGAUCUGUGCCUGGCCUCUGAGAUUAUUGUUUUCUAACCCGCAGGACCCUAAGAGGUCUUAGGCAAUGGCAUCCAUACGGCUGUGUGUGGGGCAUUUCUUCCUGUUGAGCAGCAACCCCUUCCCUGCGUUACUCUCUUUGGAAGUUGAGCCCUUAACAUUGUGACAUUGUUCGUUAGGUUUUCUUUCGAGAUCGCAAAAACCACCGUAGCGAUUGAUAGGGAAGGCAUAUAUUAAUGUUUAAAAACAAAUUAAAUUUCAAGAAGGUAGCUAAAUAGAACCCUGAUGCUCAGAAGCAGUGUGCUGGAAGAGGGGAGGGGGAAAACAAAACUGGGAAUGGGCUGUUCUCUCUGCCUGCUCCCCCCUCUUGGAGGCUCCUGAUGGAAAGAGAGUUCUGGAUUUGGGUCAGCUGCAGCGAGGCUCUCUCCGUGUUCUUACACACUUGUGGCUGCAGCUUCUACUCCUGCCCUUAGUUGAGUCUUCUGCUCUGCUGCAAUGUGUGGGGGUGGGGGAAUCUGUGACCCUCCAGACUUUGCUGUUUGAUUCCAACUCCUAUCAUCCCCAACCAUGGGCAUAGCCAAGGGGCAGCAGGGGGGCAGCUGCCCCCCCAUCAAGUAAGUAAGUAAGUAAGUAUAUAAAUAGAAAUACUUAAUUAACAUCUUGGUUCUGCACCCCCCAACAUAAAUCCUGGCUACACCCAUGUCCCUGACUCUUGGCCAUUCUGGCUGAGUUGAUGGGAGUUGGACAAUCAACAUCUGGAGGACCGCAAGUUCCCCAUCCCUUAAGUGCUUUGUAGGCAUGUGGUUACUUCAUAAGCCUCCACACCUUAAACAGCUAUUUUUGUUGUCUCCUUGGCAUCCUUUUCGUUUGCACUGCUUUGGAACUCUAGGCUUGUUCUGGUCUUCUUUGUUUAGCAGUGUUUGUGUGAUUUGUCUCCUUCCACUGGAUCUGUUUUAUCCUCCAGUUUUUAUGAUCUGCGAGGGCCUUCCCACACUGCCAUAUUCAGAACCUUUACAAUGGUAUAACGCAACUUGCUAUGAAUAAAUCUUAAAUAUCUCAAUGCAAACACCGAAUUAAUCAGGAGGCAGGCUGGUACUCCAACUUCUCUUCCCAUCAACCAUGCAGAGAACUGUCUGGAGCCUGUUUGUUAAGACUGUGCAUUUCCUACUGUAACAGCUUGUCUAUGCUCCUUUCAAGAUCCUGUCAUGUUCGCAUGCGCUCUGUGUCUGAAGCUGUCAUUCAUUUCAUUUAGAUAGAAUGUGAGGCCACGGUAGAGAUACCUGCUGCAUGCAGAAGCUCCCAAGCUUAAGCAAGGCUUCUCUAGUUAGCUUAAAUUUUUUUAAAAAAGGUAGCAGAGGAAGAUCUCUGCCAGAAACCCCGAAGAGACAAUGCAAAGGGAUCCAUGGUGUGACAUGGUGUGAGGCAGUUUUCAUAUCUUCCUAUAUGCAUAAAAAUGUAAGGUGUCAUCACACUCUGAAGUUUGUGUGGCUGCCAAUAGGCGGCUAUGCCAACUGCACCGUGAGGAGUGGCUGGCCGGCCCUGGCAAGCUGCUUAACUGAGUGGUGGGCAAUGUGGAGCACCUCUCCCUGCUUCUUUUAAACGAGAUUUAAUGGCAGAUUAAAUCUGGCAGCAAAAUUUAAUGGAGGGAAGUGCUUCGUACAGUAUUUCAGCAAGCUACUCUGUGACGCACCUCCUACCUACUUUGAAAGGGGCUUGGAGGAGCUUGGGGCGAGUUGUCGGGUGGGGGCGAGUGGGUGGGUAAAGGGAAGGAGUUGGUUAGGCAUGGAGGAAGGGGGUUGGCCAAAAGGGUUGGUGAGUGGAGCAGACCUGGUUGUCCUACAAUGAGAGCUUGCCAAGUAUAUCCUCACAGAACAGAACCUAGGCCCUUUUGAAGUCUCACCAGUGCUGGAUUUACAUAUAAGUUAAACAAGCUAUAGCUUAGGGCCCCACUCUCUUGGGGGUCCCAAAAAAAUUUAAAAGAAAAAAACACCUGGAUGUACAUUUCCAAAAUAUAAGAUACAGAAAUAAAUUAAAACCUACAUACAGUUGAAGUGUUAUGUACUGAAGUUCUCACCCUGGUCCAGCAGGGGGAUACUGUAGAUAGUUAUGCAAAUAAGGGAUCAAAAGUGACUUUCAGUGAUUGGAUAGUUUUAGAAAGUUGUUACAGUAACGUUGUACUGGAGCUCUAUAUAAGCAGGCUGACUGAACCCUUCAGUUCAGUUCUGUCCUGGCCUGUGAAUAAACAAGAGCUGUUUGGAGAAUCGCUGUGUUGUCUGAUAUGUUCACCCACAACUUAACAUAAAGCUUAAUAAUUAUUUCACUAUUAAUAUACUUCUUCUUAAUUGUAUUUCAGUUCAACAAUUACUUUGAUAAAAUACAUAUUUUGUUAUGUGCAAAUGGCUUUAGAUACCUAUUAGGUCCAUAAAUUACCAUACAGCAUAUAUUCAACACAAAGAACAGUGAGAAUUUGUUGUUGACAAAGGACAACUGAACAUAUAAAGGGCCCCAUUACCUACAGUAGCUUAGGGCCUCAUCAAACCUAAAUCCAGCCCUGAGUCUAACACAGAGAUAACUAAUGUGGUGCUCUCUAGAUGUUGUCUGACUGCAACUCUCAACAUCCAUGAUUGUUGGGCAUAAUAACAGGGGCUGAUGGGAUUUGGGAACCCAACAAUACCUAGAAGGCAGCACAUAGAGAGGUACUGUGAUCCUUGGAAGAAGGUCAGUAAAGAAAUAUUAUUGUUACUAUCAUCAUCCCUAAAGUAAGGUACAGGAUUCCCUAAAGGGCAAUUUGAUACACUGAAGAAAGCCAAACCCUUGGUCAACCUUGCUUCUACAAUCCAGUCUUCCCCUUAUAUUUCGCUCUUUCUUGAGCGGUUAAUGAGGUGGUUUGCUUACAUAGCGUCUAAAGCCGGCAUGUACUGGGGCCCCAAAGAGUUUCUUCAGCAGCUAUUCUGGUUAAAUACAUAAGUAAUUAACCAUGGUUAGCUGUUUUUAGAUCUCUGCAUACAGAGAAAGGGAAUGAAACAGCCACGAGUGCCAGUUUCAUGCUAGUGAGUUCAUAUGUCAUAUAUUUGAAUGAGCCACUGCAUAUCAAAAAUAAACGAUCAAGUGACAGAUACACUUGCAUGUGUGAACCAACAGCCAUCAGUAGGGGGUGGGGGACCUUAUGGCUAAAUUUCCCUCACUGACUGUCCCAUUGCUGUUCUCCCUUUCAGGUCCCAGGAGGUGGUAGCACAUCCAUCGCUCAGUCGCCUGGCCCUGCCUAGAGCCCCUUCAGCCCCAAUGGCUGAAGUCUGGUGAAUUGAAAAAGCUUCAGCAGAGACGGGAUCCAAAGGCCGGCAAGCUGGAGGAGGAGAUGAAGAAGAGCUGCAGCGUCCUUGCUGUGACUCCAGACGAGGUGAGCAGGGCUGUCAUGGUUGCCUUGCCGCAAAUUGAGUUGGGUCACCUGCCUGAGACGUUGCUUUCCCCCCCCAUGAAACUUGGGGUGGAGUGAAGAUAUAAUUUAUAAAAAGCAAAAACAGUUGCCAAGUUGAUCCACAGAGAAAUGCUCCAAAAUCCACAGUUGGCCUUUGUUAGGGUCAACCCAAAUGUCACAAAGAGAGAGCCAGAUUUCUGGUUCUGUUGGUCUCUGAGGUAGAAGGCGAUGGAGGGCGCGUGGUUGAGGGUGAGGAAGUGCAAUACAAAAUGCACAAAUUAGAUCUGCAGGUCUGACUGGGUUGGAUUGGUCCCUGCUUGAUGCAGGGCCUCAGCUCAGUUACAUCUCAGAUUCUCACAGUGUUUCCCUCAGGUGCAGGUAAGCCCAGUGUCCUCCCAAGCUUAGCAGUUGGACUGACAGAUGUCAUUGUUUGUCUACAACCCCACCAGAUCCAGGCUUCAGGCAGGCUUUUUUAAAAAAAGCAUUCUAAAGCAUCAUCUGUACAUUACUUAUAUCUUUUUUAAAAGAAAGCUGGUCGGUGGAUUUGUUUUUUUUUUAUAUAUAAUUUUAUUAUUAUUAAUUGACAUCCAUACACGAUCUUGAGUACAUGUACAAAGAGAAGGUAAAACUGAUAAUGAUAGUAAUAACAAUUAUACCGUUAAAUAUUGACUUAAACUUGUACAUGCUCUUUUCUUAUACUUUCUAGCUAAACAAAAAUAAACCAAAGUAAAAAGCCAAUAAACUAAAUUAUAUCAAAACAGGCUUCCCAUCAUUUCCCAACGUAAGUUACAUUUACGACAUUGAAUGUACUUAUACUUCUUACCUUACUAUAAUUUCUAGUACUUUCUUAUAACAUAUUGGACCAUUUUUCCUCAUUUAAUAGUAUUUAAUUUACACAAGGGUCAUUCAAACGCUGCCAUAGAUGUUAUGUCAUUGUUAUAUUUUUGUAGGUAUUUCUUGGACAUAUCCCAUUUUUGCUGUUCGGUGGAUUUGAAUGGGGAAAUUUCUUGGUGCCAUCAUAGGUGACAGUCAGUCAGUGAUGUUUGCAGCUAGUUUCUGCUGUGAACACGCAGAACAACCUUCUGCGCACCCCACUCCCCAGAUCCCAAAGAGGUAAAAUCAUGUUUGGGAUGCAGGGUGUGAGGGCUGUUCCAGAGUGGCUGCACUGCCCUAAAAAUACCUUUAGCUCAGUUGGUAGAGAAUGAGACUCUUAAUCUCAGGGUUGUGGGUUUGAACAAAUAAUGGGCAAAAGAUUCCUGCAGGGGUUUGGGAUAGAUGACCCCUGUGGUCCCUUCCACCUCUACAAUUUUAUGACUCUAAGGUUUGGUUUAUGUGGGCUUUCCUUUCCGUAUCACACGAUGUAUCUAAAAUACCAAAAAAUACUUGAAUUUUUUACAUAUAAACUUUGUAAUGAGAGAAACGAGUAACAGAUUUACGUGUCCCAGUGGAUAUGUUUUGGAUACGGUAUAUGCUCAGAGCUAUUUAUUUCCAACUUUUGUUUUAUAUGCAUUUUUUUCUUUCUUUUUAAAGUACUUUAUUGGCUACCAGUCAUAAGUUGUGCCACUUUGUUUCUUUGAAGUGUAUAAUAUUGUUUCAACAGCUGUAAUUUCCCCCUUUUAUGUGUUUUAAAAUUUAAUAAAGAUUAAUUUAAAAAAUAGAAUGGUUAUUUCUGUCUUCACCUUUCAGGUAUGCACAAAGUGGUGAAACUGAACUUCGAAACUGACCCACUGAGGACUAAGCGUUUGGUGUUUUUUCACGGUCCCUAGUGGGGAGCAGGAACUGUUCACAAGCAGGGGCACAGGGUAUUGGUUUAUGUGAAUAUGUAUUUAAGACAAUUUUUUGUUUCUUGAAUGUUUCUGCAGUUGGGGAGGAGGAGAUGUUCAGGUUAGCAUCUGAAAAACAGGACAUGGAUAUUUGAAGCAGGGGGGCUAACAUGUGACUUAGCUGAAGAACAGCUGCCAUAAUCCCCGACCAUUGGCUACACAGGAUGGGCUGAUGAGCAGGGUCAGAAACUGGGAUAGAAAAGCUAGGAGCCAAAUGGCUCCUGGGACCUGGGUUGUGGGCACCGAAACAGAACGUCUAGUUGCCAUUGGCGGGUGGGGUAAAGACUUUUUAUUGAUUAUUUUGAUAAGCAUGAACUAAUACGCUAUUCACACAAGUGAC